CUUUAAUGAUUAAACAGUAAACAGUUAAUGAGUAAAACAGCAACAUGUCGGCUAAAGUGAUUGAAUUCAGAAAUGCAUUUGACUGAACAUUUUUUUUUGUAAUAGCCUUUAAUACAGCACAGCAAAGUUUAGAAACAGACGGAUUGGUGAAAUUGCUUUCCCCGACAUUUUGCGGUUACGUGAGGCUUGGUGACCUCAGAAUCAGUAGGAUAUUUAACAAUCACUCAAAUAGGCAGAUGCAGGAACAGCAUGAGGCUGAGUGAAUCACUCAUUCCGGUUCUUCCUUCAAAAUAAGUUAUAUUACAAUGCAGGUUAUAGACAUUCUUUCUGAUUGCAUGCUAAAGACAGUCUCUCCUCUUGCUACAGCUAAUUUUGUACGAAUUAAGUGGAUUAUAAUACAUUUAUAUAUUUGCAGGAGUUGAUGCAUUUUUCAUUAGGGCAAAUCUGGUCUGUGAUAUUGAGUUAGAACUGUAAAACUUUAGAGUACUUAAACAUCGAAUACAUUGUAAGUCUGCACUUUAGGCUACACUUUACAAUAGGACUCAACUGACUGACCCCGCAGCAUCUAUCAGUAGUAUAAACUGUGACACAAAUUGGGGGGAUUUUUCACCCCUAGUCGAGCUAUUAGACUAUCCUUUGGUAAAUUAAUGGAGGUGUGAAUGUUUCAGCCAGUCUCUCUCCUAUCUAAAGUCCUGCAUCAGGCCACAACAACAAAAAAAUCUGGCGGUCGGUCCCGGAGUUGAGAGAGAAGUUGGGCAAAUACAACGGCACAAUUACACUUGACAUGUGGACUGACGAUUUUCAAAAAAUAGGAUACUUGUACCUUACAACCCGUUACAUACUGAAGAGUGGAUGUUAUCCACUACGGAGUGGGACAGGGCAGCUCAAACUGCAGAGAACAGAAGACCAGCUAUUGUGAAAGAAUACUUGUGGAUCGUGUGGAUUUCAUCUAUUGCAUGAAGAGACCUAAUGUCCACCUGGUCAUUGUGUGGUUCCAAAGGAUAAAGCCUCACAUUCAGAUGGAUGUGUGGUUUCAGAGAGAAGCCAGCCUGCGACCAGACACGGUGAUUAAAGCCUCACGUUCAGAUGGAGGGUGUGGUUUCAGAGAGAAGUCAGCUGUUAGCCUGCGACCAGGCACGGUGGUUAAAGCCUCACGUUCAGAUGGAGGUGUGGUUUCAGAGAGAAGCCAGCCUGCGACCAGGCACGGUGGUUAAAGCCUCCCCUUCAGAUGGAGGUGUGGUUUCAGAGAGAAGCCAGCCUGCGACCAGGCACGGUGGUUAAAGCCUCCCCUUCAGAUGGAGGUGUGGUUUCAGAGAGAAGCCAGCCUGCGACCAGGCACGGUGGUUAAAGCCUCCCCUUCAGAUGGAGGUGUGGUUUUAGAGAGAAGCCAGCCUGCGACCAGGUACGGUGGUUAAAGUCCUAUUCCUGCACAGCAAUCUGAAGAAUUCCAGUGAUGAAUGGACUGUUUCUGAAGUGAAUGUUUUAGUAAAUUCGUUGUCUAAUAUUAGAAUUCUCUUUAAAGCGAUUUGAGUUGUCAAAAUGUGCAACAUGGCAUUGUGGGGGGUGAUUUCAUGGCUUCUUUUCGACAAAUGCUGAAAAACAGCAGACAAAUUAAUUAAUGCAGGAAAAGAGGAAUUCUUCAUUAGGUUAUAAUAAUAAAUGCCUUCUGAGAAUGUUAAAGUCCAACAGUUAUGGGAGGGGUUAGAAAUGUGGCUGUCAGAAGUAUUACAAUGUAAAUUAACUUUUAAUCCAUCUGUCUGCAUAUUUCAAGACAUGGAAUAAGGGUGCAGUGAGAUACGAUAGUUCUCGUCAAACGACCUGAAAAAAACAUACUUAAAAACUGAAAAUCAACCAACGUCAGCCUAUUAUCCAAUGUUGAAAGUGCGUGUGGACGACAGAGAGAAACAAAAUGGUGUAGUUUGAGGCCAUGUGGCCGGGUGUGACGGGGUGCGAGCAGGUGGGUCUGGACAGCUGUAAUGUAGUUUCCCUUUGUAUGUGUAUGUUCUGUAUCGUCUAAAAAUAUAUAUUUUUAAAAUCGUACAAAAAAAAAAAAAAUGUAAUAAAGAUGACAAGCUUGCGAUACGCAUCCGAUUAUUCAUUAUGAACAUCAUUUAUUUUGUUUACAUCCUUCAUUGCAAACACAAUGUUACAAAUAAUUUAACACAGAUUAACUUGGUCAAAACAUGUAUUUUUUAAAGAAAACCCAGCGUUAUGCUGACAAAUAGCCUACUAAACAGGCCAAGCCUAAACAUAUAUAUUAAAAUUGCCUAAAUAAACUAGAAUAUUUCAUAAAUAAACAAAGUAGUUCAGCUCACCUUUUUCCCCCUCCCUAUCCUCGCUGGACUCUUUCAUUCAGUUUCUUCUACACAUCAGCAAAGGACUCAGAAAUUCACUUUCUAAAGAGGGGUUAUCACUCCUUCACACUGUGGUAAAUCAAGUCCGUUUGUUAUUUAGAACCAUUUAUGUUUCUUAGAGGGAGAGAAACCAAAAGCCCACCGUGCCAAUUUUUCAAAAAUCAUCAGUCCACAUGUCAAGCGUAAAUGCACCAUUGUAUUUUCCCAAGUUCUCUCUCAACUCCGGGACCACCCGCCAGCUUUUUGAUAGUGCAACCCUCAAUAACAGUCCAGAUGAAAAAUGAUCAGGCCUACUGUACAUCUUACUGUUGAACGAAAGUCAAGGUUGGAAAUGUUGCUGUUAAAAUGCAAUACAUAUGUCUUACUCUGAACUGGAAUAAACAGAAUGGUCUACAUCUGUGUGAUGUGACCAACAAGCACGUCUAUAUUCUGGGCUCUGUUUUAGUACAACAAUGAGGUGAUGCUCAGCCUUGAAACUGCUUAAGUAUGUCAGAGUUGAACACCCUGACUCGCAUAGGUAUGUGGUGCCAAACUGGACCAGAACAUCUACUGCUUUCUCAGUCAGGCAGGAGACCGCUUCCUGCUGUAGACUUUUAUCUCCCUCACCAACUUCAAACAUCUGCUAUCUGAGCAGCUAACCGAUCGCUGCAGCUGUACAUAGUCUAUCGGUAAAUAGCCCACCCAUUUUUACCUACCUCAUCCCCAUACUGUUUUUAUUUAUUUACUUUUCUGCUCUUUUGCACACCAAUAUCUCUACCUGUACAUGACCAUCUGAUCAUUUAUCACUCCAGUGUUAAUCUGCAAAAUUGUAAUUAUUCGCCUACCUCCUCAUGCCUUUUGCACACAAUGUAUAUAGACUCCCUUUUUUUCUACUGUGUUAUUGACUUGUUAAAUUGUU
ensembl:lncRNA